rnacentral:lncRNA from 1 species
AAGCUUGUAAUGACCAGCCUGCAGUCAAUUCUUGAAAAUGUGGAUACACCAGAAUUGCUUUGCAAAUGUGUUAAGUGCAUUCUUUUGGUGGCUCGAUGUUACCCUCAUAUUUUCAGCACUAAUUUUAGGGAUACAGUUGGUAUAUUAGUUGGAUGGCAUAGAGAUCAUACUCAGAAACCUUCGCUCACGCAGCAGGUAUCUGGGUGGUUGCAGAGUUUGGAGCCAUUUUGGGUAGCUGAUCUUGCAUUUUCUACGCCUCUACUUGGUCAGUUUCUAGAAGACAUGGAAGCAUAUGCUGAGGACCUCAGCCAUGUGGCCUCUGGGGAAUCAGUGGAUGAAGACGUCCCUCCUCCAUCAGUGUCAUUACCAAAGCUGGCUGCGCUUCUCCGGGUAUUUAGUACUGUGGUGAGGAGCACUGGGGAAAGCCUCAGCCCAAUUCGGGCCCUCCAAUUACUGAGGCAUACGUAACAGAUGUUCUGUACAGAGUAAUGAGAUGUGUGACGGCUGCAAACCAGGUGUUUUUUUCUGAGGCUGUGUUGACAGCUGCUAAUGAGCGUGUUGGUGUUUUGCUCGGCAGCUUGGAUCCUAGCAUGACUAUACAUUGUGACAUGGUCAUUACAUAUGGAUUAGACCAACUGGAGAAUUGCCAGACUUGUGGUACCGAUUAUAUCAUCUCAGUCUUGAAUUUACUCACG